AGAACACAGAGGAGCCUCUCUUGGGGAUCUUAAUGGCAGAGGCCUGAGGGAGGCGGUACGGCAGCGGCAGAGGCAGGAGAAGCAGCUGCGUAUUGUUCUUCAGCGGCAAGGAGAGAGUCCAAGAGUAGCCCCUUGAUUGACAGCGUCGAAGGCAAUGCAUUGAUCAGGAAGCCUUGGUGUGAGGCUUUGAACAUGUCUAAUUAUCAUCCUGCAAAGUACGAUGACCCAGUGGGGCUUCUGAAGCUCGGGGCAGAAAGCCAUUCCUGUUCUUCAACCAUGUGUCCACCAAAUGUCACCUGUUCUUGGCCAGCUAUACAGGAGCAGCCUCACCUUCAGCUGACAUCUGCAAAACAAGAGAAUCAUGUAACACAAGGGUCUGAUAAUGUGAUGUGAUUUCUGUCUCUGGCUAUAAAAUGAGCAGGGCAGCUAGAGAGCACAGCAAUGGCUGGUUCCAUUUUAAUGGAGCAGAUAUCUCAUUUGCCCGAUGGGUGGGAUAGCUAUGCUUGUUGUACAGCAUUCUAUUCUGAAUCAGUGUUCUGUGCCUAUGGGAGCAAGUUGUUUUAGAUGAAUGAUUUCAGAGACAGAACUACAUCAGAUCUAUAUAUCCACUACUGGACAUCAAUCAAACCCACAGAGUUUAACCAACCCAAUUGUCACUCUAUGAGAAAGGUAUGUCAAAGGAGAAAGCAGUGAAAACAACUUUGUUCAAGACUGGUUUCAUUUUAUUGAUUAUGUGAACAUCAAGGAUGGACUUUGGACAAUUCCAUUACAUCACCGGAAAUUUUGGGAAGAUUCAU
rnacentral:lncRNA from 11 species